UCGGGGUCGGAAUGGCAAGGUUAAGGAGGGGCCGAUUCUGAGGGGCCUGUUCAAGUAAGGUGCUGUUCUAAUGAGCGCAUGCGUUAGUUUGGACGGUACUGAAGUUGUGAGGCAGUCUCUCGACACGCAUUCGGUGUGUGGUCGGUGACCCAUUUGACCCGUCUUGAAACACGGACCAAGGAGUUUAAAGUGUGUGCGAGUGAUUGAGUGUGCAAACUUAAAAGCGUAAUGAAAGUGGGACACUUAGUGUCUGUGAUGCGACCCGAAUGAGUUUUACUUAAUUGGGGCAGCAUCGACCCAUGACUAGAACAUGUUCUGUUGUGGAGUUUGAGCGCAUGCUUUGAGACCCGAAAGAUGGUGAACUAUGCCCGAACAGGACGAAGUCAGAGGAAACUCUGAUGGAAGUCCGAAGCGGUUCUGACGUGCAAAUCGAUCGUCUGAUUUGGGUAUAGGGGCGCAAGACUAAUCGAACCAUC
rnacentral:rRNA from 1 species